rnacentral:rRNA from 1 species
UACGGGGGGGGCAAGCGUUGUUCGGAAUUACUGGGCGUAAAGGGCUCGUAGGCGGCCAACUAAGUCAUACGUGAAAUCCCUCGGCUUAACCGGGGAACUGCGUCUGAUACUGGAUGGCUUGAGUUCGGGAGAGGGAUGCGGAAUUCCAGGUGUAGCGGUGAAAUGCGUAGAUAUCUGGAGGAACACCGGUGGCGAAGGCGGCAUCCUGGCCCGAUACUGACGCUGAGGAGCGAAAGCCAGGGGAGCAAACGGG